rnacentral:misc_RNA from 1 species
GAUGAAGAACGUAGCGAAAUGCGAUAAGUAAUGCGAAUUGCAGAAUUCAGUGAGUCAUCGAAUCUUUGAACGCACAUUGCGCCCUGUGGUAUUCCGCAGGGCAUGCCUGUUCGAGCGUCAUUUCAACCCUCAAGCCCCGCUUGGUGUUGGGCCCCGCCCGCCGUGGCCGGCCCUAAAGACAGUGGCGGCGCCGCCUGGCCCUCAGCGUAGUACAGCUCUCGCUCCAGGGUCCGGCGGCCGCCUGCCAGAACCCCCCCAACUCUGUGGUUGACCUCGGAUCAGGUAGGGAUACCCGCUGAACUUAAGCAUAUCAAUAGCGGAGGA